UGAUUACUUAACUUAUCCUGCCACAACAUACUAAUAUCAGCAGAGGGAAAGUUAAGGAGCACAAGACAAAUCAUUCUUUUCUUGAAGAUACUGCAGAUGACAUGGAAACAGCUGUGAUAUAUGUCGUCAUCCUGGGAGUCAUCUCAGGUUUAACCAGUGGGGCUGGUGUGUUACCAGCUGAUUCUCUGAAUGCAGCUGUGGGAGGCACUGUGAUGUUCACCACAACAUUGACUCCACCAGAAACUCAGUUUGUGUCAGUGGCCUGGACCUUUGGUGUUAACGAUAUAAUAACCUCAACCACAGCUUCAAACACAACUGGACCAGAGUAUGAAGGCAGGAUCACCCUCUUCAGAUCUACUGGAUCUCUGGAGUUCAGGAAUUUAGCUCUCAGUGACAGUGGAGAAUACAGAGUUAGUAUUAUACCAGCUGUUGGAGGAAGUCUGUCAGGACACACCAGACUGGAUGUAUAUGUGCCAGUCUCCAAUGUAAGAGUGACUGCCAACAGCUCAGACUUGAUAGAGUUCAACAGCUCUGUCAGCCUGUCCUGCUCCUCCUCUGGAUCCUCCCUCUCUUUCCUCUGGCUGAACAGCAGCUCUGAGGUUACAGCCAGUGACAGAGUUCAGCUCACUGAUGGAGGGGCCAUCCUCACUAUAAUCAGUGUGACCCGCUAUGACCAGGGACCAUUUAGGUGUCGUGUUUUCAAUCCUGUCAGUGAUGUCACCAGUGAACCAGUAAACCUCUCCAUCAGCUUUGGUCCAGAUAAUACAAAUUUGAAGCGGUCUCCAUCACAACAAUACUAUAUGGAAGGGUCAAACAUCAUCCUGUCCUGCUCAGCUGUCUCCAGACCUGCUGCCCAGUUUCAGUGGUUUCUGAACGGAGACUUGCUGACUGCUAGAGGACCAGAGCUCAGACUGAUGAACAUUCAGAUGAGUCAGAGUGGGAACUACAGCUGUCAGGCCUUUAACAACAUAACUAUGAGAACUCAGACAUCUCAAACUUCUGUUGUCUCUGUACUGGAGAGAAUAUCAGGAGCUUCUGUCAAAUCAUCAACAAACCAGCCAGUUGAUGGAAACUCAGUCAACUUAACCUGUGAGGCUGCUGGCUCUGUCUUCACCAGACAGUGGAUGAAGGAUGGCUCAGAUCUGAUCCUGACUGACAACAUGAUGCUUUACAAUGAGGGCAGAGUGUUGUCUUUUCAACCUCUGAAGAAAAAAGACAGUGGAGAAUAUUCCUGUAAAAUCAGCAACCCUGUCAGCAGUGAUGAAGCUAAAUACGUCAUGGUUGUUAAUUAUGGACCAGAAAAUGUUAAAAUCACAGGUGAAACUGUGAUAUAUUUGCAAGAGACCUUAAAAUUAACCUGCUCUGCUGAGUCCACACCAUCUGCUAGUUACACCUGGAUGUGGAAUAAGACAGAGAUAAUAAGCUAUUCUGCUGAGCUCACUAAAGUCAUCACUGAACUUUCUGAGAGUGGAAACUACACCUGCCGAGCGAUGAAUAGUAUAACUAGCAGAACAUCAUCUGCAGUACAUGAACUGACUGUAAAAGCUGAAAGACCUUCAAGUUGCUCGGCCGGUUGCAUUGCUGGAAUAGUAAUCGCUUGUCUUGUUGUUGUUGGAGCUGUUGCUGGUGGAGUCUACUAUUAUAAUAAAAAAAAGUAAGUGAGUUAACAAAAAUCCCAAGCUACAUAAAGCAAGACAAGACACUACUAUGCAAGGCAGCAUUUCAAUUCAACGAUCUUUCUCUUUAUGAGAUUAUCAGAAAAUAAAUACUCAUUAAGUCUUCAACUGGACCAAGAAAAGAGGAGACACCACUGUUUUUUUUUUGUUUGUUUGUUGUUUUGUUUUGUUUUUUUGUUUGUUUUUUAAGAAUCAAUACAAUUUCUGUUCUACCUUCAAGUUUUUUUUCCACUUUAUUUUUUUCCACAUUUCACAAGUCACAUCAAUUGACUUUUUGGCCACUUGGAGGCAGAAGAGCUCCACAACAAGAUGACAGAUGUAGCAACAUAUUAUUAUUGUGGCCUUAUUAAGUUUUAUGCUAAUGUGCUGGAAAACAUCUGCCAUUUACACAUUUGUUACGGAACAAAAGUAGCAUUUCUGCAUUUAUUGUCAGUACUUUGGCUACUUGCUUAAAACAGUAGUUGAAAACAAAGCUGAUAAGAGAGAGAGAACUGAGAGUGAACCAAAACAGUGAAGUAGCGAGCCGUAAAAUAAAAAUAAUGAACCGAGAGACCCUAUAAAUACUAAAGAAUUGGGUGAUAAUUCUCUGUGAGUUUAUUACUAUGAUUUGACCUCUUUCACAGAGAAGUAGUCAGAGAAGUAGCUUAGUGCUUCACAAUGUUCAUCAAUUGACUCGUGAUUUUCUAGAUUUUUUUUAGUCAACAGUGAAUAUCUAAUGCUUGCAAAUUAUCUGUUGAUAGCAUAAUUGAAUAUGCGAGUCUUUCAAAUAAAAUUUCAAGUCAAGUGUAAGAUGUCUCUUUUUUAUUAUUUGUUAAUUGUGACAUAAUUGUUUUUUGUUGUUAAUUCAAAAUAUAGCAGACUCAUCACCUGAUUUUUUUAAGUUGACAGUCUUAAUAAAGGUGUAUUCUGAUGCUUUGGCUUUUCUUGAUUUACUUGUAAACAAUAAAUAUAUAUAUUU